rnacentral:rRNA from 1 species
GGUUAAGCGACUAAGCGUACACGGUGGAUGCCCUGGCAGUCAGAGGCGAUGAAGGGCGUGCUAAUCUGCGAUAAGCGCCGGUAAGGUGAUAUGAACCGUUAUAACCGGCGAUACCCGAAUGGGGAAACCCAGUGUGACUCGUCACACUAUCAUUAACUGAAUCCAUAGGUUAAUGAGGCGAACCGGGGGAACUGAAACAUCUAAGUACCCCGAGGAAAAGAAAUCAACCGAGAUUCCCCCAGUAGCGGCGAGCGAACGGGGAGGAGCCCAGAGCCUGAAUCAGCAUGUGUGUUAGUGGAAGCGUCUGGAAAGGCGCGCGAUACAGGGUGACAGCCCCGUACACAAAAGCGCAUGUGCUGUGAGCUCGAUGAGUAGGGCGGGACACGUGGUAUCCUGUCUGAAUAUGGGGGGACCAUCCUCCAAGGCUAAAUACUCCUGACUGACCGAUAGUGAACCAGUACCGUGAGGGAAAGGCGAAAAGAACCCCGGCGAGGGGAGUGAAAAAGAACCUGAAACCGUGUACGUACAAGCAGUGGGAGCACAGGUUUA